rnacentral:tRNA from 1 species
ACAUUGGUGGUUCAGUGGUAGAAUUCUCACCUUCCAUGCAGGAAACCUGGGUUCAAUUUCCGGCCAAUGCA